CUGAAGUCCAACCCCUCCCAUCUGAGAGAGCUGGACCUGAGUAGCAACUACAAGCUGCAGGAUUCAGGAGUGAAGCAGCUUUGUGGUUUUCUGGGGAGUCCAAGAUGUGGACUUGAAACUCUGAGAUUGAGUUUCUGUGGUUUGUCAGAGACCAGCUGUGAUUAUCUGGCAACAGCACUGAAGUCCAACCCCUCCUGUCUGAGAGAGCUUGACCUGAGGUACAACAGCCUGCAGGAUUCAGAAGUGAAGCAGUUGUCUGAUCUUGAGGAAACUCCAGACUGCAGACUGGAGACUCUGAGGUGGUGGUGAUGGUAAACAGGACGGUGUGUGUGCUGAGAGAGGAUGACGAUGCCCCAACAAUGAAGCUAAAAUGUCUCUAUGUCUGGCUGCAUCGGAUGGAACUGGGGUCAAACUAAAAUGAAUAAAUUCU